GGCAGCUGGUACAGCUCUUGAAAAUCCCCGUGUCGGCGGUUCGAUUCCGUCCCCGGCCACCA
rnacentral:tRNA from 1 species